rnacentral:rRNA from 1 species
AUUGAACGCUGGCGGCAGGCCUAACACAUGCAAGUCUAGCGAGCGGCUGACGGGUUAGUAAUGUCUGGGAACCUGCCUGAUGGAGGGGGAUAACUACUGGAAACGGUAGCUAAUCCCGCAUACCAUCAGAUGUGCCCAGAUGGGAUUAGCUAGUCGGUGGGGUAACGGCUCACCUAGGCGCCGAUCCCUAGCUGGUCUUAGAGGAUGACCAGACACACUGGAAUUGAGACACGGUCCAGACUCCUACGGGAGGCAGCAGUGGGGAAUAUUGCACAAUGGGCGCAAGCCUGAUGCAGCCAUGCCGCGUGUAGGAAGAAGGCCUUCGGGUUGUAAAGUACUUUCAGCGGGGAGGCGUUACCCGCAGAAGAAGCACCGGCUAACUCCGGGCCAGCAGCCGCGGUAAUUC